rnacentral:rRNA from 1 species
AUGCACGCUGGCGGCGUGCCUAAUACAUGCCAGUCGAGCGAACGGACGAGAAGCUUGCUUUUCUGAUGUUAGCGGCGGACGGGUGAGUAACACGUGGAUAACCUACCUAUAAGACUGGGAUAACUUCGGGAAACCGGAGCUAAUACCGGAUAAUAUUUUGAACCUCAUGGUUCAAAAGUGAAAGACGGUCUUGCUGUCACUUAUAGAUGGAUCCGCGCUGCAUUAGCUAGUUGGUAAGGUAACGGCUUACCAAGGCAACGAUGCAUAGCCGACCUGAGAGGGUGAUCGGCCACACUGGAACUGAGACACGGUCCAGACUCCUACGGGAGGCAGCAGUAGGGAAUCUUCCGCAAUGGGCGAAAGCCUGACGGAGCAACGCCGCGUGAGUGAUGAAGGUCUUCGGAUCGUAAAACUCUGUUAUUAGGGAAGAACAUAUGUGUAAGUAACUGUGCACAUCUUGACGGUACCUAAUCAGAAAGCCACGGCUAACUACGUG